UACGUAGGGUGCGAGCGUUGUCCGGAAUUAUUGGGCGUAAAGGGCUCGUAGGCGGUUUGUCGCGUCGGGAGUGAAAACCUUGGGCUUAACCCAGGGUCUGCUUUCGAUACGGGCAGACUAGAGGUAUGCAGGGGAGAACGGAAUUCCUGGUGUAGCGGUGAAAUGCGCAGAUAUCAGGAGGAACACCGGUGGCGAAGGCGGUUCUCUGGGCAUGAUCUGACGCUGAGGAGCGAAAGUGUGGGGAGCGAACAGGAUUAGAAACCCCCGUAGUCC
rnacentral:rRNA from 1 species